rnacentral:rRNA from 1 species
AUUGAACGCUGGCGGCAGGCUUCACACAUGCAAGUCGAACGAGUGGCGGACGGGUGAGUACUGCUUGGGAAUCUAGCUUAUGGAGGGGGAUAACUACGGGAAACUGUAGCUAAUACCGCGUACAAUAGGAUGAGCCCAAGUGGGAUUAGGGAGUUGGUGAGGUAAAGGCUCACCAAGACGACGAUCUCUAGCUGGUCUGAGAGGAUGACAAGCCAACCUGGGCUGGAGAAACGGCCCAGACUCCUCCGGGAGGCAGAAGUGGGGAAGAUGGCGCAAUGGGGGCAACCUGACGCAGCCAUGCCGCGUGAAUGAAGAAGGCCUUCGGGUUGUAAAGUUCUUUCGGUAGCGAGGCGUUAACGACAGAAGAAGCACCGGCUAACUCCGUGCCAGCAGCCGCGGUAAUUC